rnacentral:rRNA from 1 species
AGUGAACGCUGGCGGUAGGCCUAACACAUGCAAGUCGAACGGCAGCACAGUAAGAGCUUGCUCUUACGUGUGUCGAGUGUCGGACGGGUGAGUAAUACAUGGGAAUAUACUUUUUCGGGGGGGAUAACAUAGGGAAACUUACGCUAAUACCACAUACGACCUACGCGUGAAAGCAGGGGAUCUUCGCACCUUGCGCUAUGGAAUGAGCCGAUGUCGGAUUAGCUAGAUGGCGGGGUAAAGGCCCACCAAGGCGACGAUCCGUAGCUGGUCUGAGAGGAUGAUCCGCCACACUGGAAAUGAGAAACGGUCCAGACUCCUACGGGAGGCAGCAGUGGGGAAUAUUGCACAAUGGGCCAAAGCCUGAUACAGCCAUACCGCGUGGGUGCAGAAGGCCUUAGGGUUGUAAAGCCAUUUUGUUGGGAAGGAAAAGCAGCAGGUUAAUACCCCACUGUACUGACGGUACCCACAGAAUAAGCACCGGCUAACUUCGUG